rnacentral:rRNA from 1 species
AGUGAACGCUGGCGGUAGGCCUAACACAUGCAAGUCGAACGGCAGCACAGUAAGAGCUUGCUCUUACGGGUGGCGAGUGGCGGACGGGUGAGGAAUACAUCGGAAUCUACUUUUUCGUGGGGGAUAACGUAGGGAAACUUACGCUAAUACCGCAUACGACCUACGGGUGAAAUCAGGGGAGCUUCGGACCUUGCGCGAUUGAAUGAGCCGAUGUCGGAUUAGCUAGUUGGCGGGGUAAAGGCCCACCAAGGCAACGAUCCGUAGCUGGUCUGAGAGGAUGAUCAGCCACACUGGAACGGAGACACGGUCCAGACUCCUACGGGAGGCAGCAGUGGGGAAUCUUGGGCAAUGGGCGCAAGCCUGAACCAGCCACACCGCGUGAGUGAAGAAGGGCUUCGGAUUGUAAAGCCCUUUUGUUGGGAAAGAAAAGAAGCGGAUUAAUACCCGCACAUCCUGACGGUACCCAAACAAAAAGCACCGGCUAACUUCGUG